UGAUACAAUUGCCUCUUGAAUUAGAAAAUAACUUUUUUCUCCAACUUGAGUGAAAUGUCCUAAUGUUUCCAGUGAACUAGGUGGGCUUAUGUUAACUAGAAGCUUAUAUGCGUGUAAAUAUCAAAUGUGACUUUUCCAGGUAGUAAGUUAAUUCCAGUACAUUGACUAGUGGUACAUUAAUAGGUGGAAAAUUUGUCUACACUGUUAAUAACAGAUCGAGAUUGGCCAAAAUGUUGAGCUUCAUUUAACAUACCCUGCUGGGUCUAACAAAAACAAAUAUUAAUCUUCUGAGUUAUUAUAAUUGGGACUAUAUAUUUAGCGAGUUACUAAAGCAUACUUAGAUUUAAUUCCCCUUCUACUUCAUGGCAGAAAUCAGAAGAGAUGCUUCUCAAAUGAAAGAAUCAACUGAUGAUAUCCCUGCAACACUCAUCAGAGCAGUUUUUAAGGAAGUUGAACGUAUUCUAACAUCAAACGUACAGGUGGAAAAAUUGAAUAGAUUCAAUCCUAGAAUUUUAAUACUCUUCACAAGAGAAUGGAAUCUUAUCUUCUUGUUUCCGAAGCAACUCUGGGAAAUUACAAUAUUAAAAUACUAAUCUGAAACUGUCACCACCAACCACAGACAUCAGAGUUCCCCAUGAAUCCCAACGCAUUAAUGGGGGAACUGUUUGGCCUUUAUAUUGGCCUUUGUCAGUAAUAUGGCUAAUACUGAAUAGUUUGAUUGAUUACUUCAACACAAUGUUUCAUAUUAAAUGUAGAGAUUUGGGUAUUUUCCCCCUUUCUCUGAACCUAUAAUUUUUUAUGUCCUUAAUGAAAAUUUGACAUAAAUAAAACAGGAAUGUGUACUGUAUUUCAUAACAAAGUGGCUUACAUGACCAAACUUUAUUAAAAGGAAUGUGUUCUCGAAUAACAUUCUUCCCACCACAAAGAUGUAUGCAAACAUAGUCAGAGUUGUAUCUUAUGACAGGCAGAAAAAUAAACUCGAGAACAAAGAAAUACUUUUUCCUUCUUUAAUCAUUCAGUUAACAAGUGGAAAAUAAACCUAAGCAUACUUUUAGUCUUCAUUGUGAGAAUAAAAUUCUUUACAUUUUGAUUCUUCAUUGCUCCCUUGCCUCCUCCUUUUCUGUUUAUGAACUCUUAAGGGAUUGGUAAUGCCAAUCUGACUGAAGAAGACGACCCAAC
rnacentral:lncRNA from 1 species